UGAGUAACACGUAGGUAAUGUACCUUUGGGUGGGGAAUAACUUAGGGAAACUUAAGCUAAUACCGCAUAAUGCAGCGGCUCCUUCAGGAGACAGUUGUUAAAGAUUUAUCGCCUAAAGAGCAGCCUGCGGCAGAUUAGCUAGUUGGUAAGGUAACGGCUUACCAAGGCUACGAUCUGUAUCCGACCUGAGAGGGUGGUCGGACACACUGACACUGAAUAACGGGUCAG
rnacentral:rRNA from 1 species